ACUCAAAUGAAUUGACGGGGGCCCACACAAGCAGUGGAUCAUGCGGUUUAAUUCGAUACUGAACGAGGAACCUUACCCAGACUUGAUAUCUACGAAACCCUUUAGAAAUAAGGGGGUGCCCUCACGGGAAUCGUAAGACAGGUGCUGCAUGGUUGCCGUCAGCUCGUGCCUUGAGGUGUUCGGUUGAGUCCGUUAACGAGCGAAACCCAUGUCAUUAGUUAUUAUGUCUAAUGAGACUGCCCGAGUUAAUCGGGAGGAAGGUGUGGAUGACGUCAAAUCAGCAUGGCCCUUAUGUCUGGGGCUACACGCAUGAUACAAUGGUCGAUACAAAGAGUUGCUAACCUGCGAAGGUACGCUAAUCUCAUAAAGUCGAUCUCAGUCCGGAUUGUAGGCUGCAACUCGCCUACAUGAAGUUGGAAUUGCUAGUAAUCGUGAAUCAGAUAUGUCACGGUGAAUAUGUUCCUGGGUCUUGUACACACCGCCCGU
rnacentral:rRNA from 1 species